rnacentral:rRNA from 1 species
AUACUGGCCAGAGACCGAUAGCGCACAAGUAGAGUGAUCGAAAGAUGAAAAGCACUUUGGAAAGAGAGUCAAACAGCGCGUGAAAUUGUUAAAAGGGAAGCGCUUGCAGCCAGACUUGCCUGUAGUUGCUCAUCCGGACUUUUGUCCGGUGCACUCUUCUAUAGGCAGGCCAGCAUCAGUUUGGGCGGUUGGAUAAAGGUCUCUGUCAUGUACCUCUCUUCGGGGAGAACUUAUAGGGGAGACGACAUGCAACCAGCCUGGACUGGGGUCCGCGCAUUUGCUAGGAUGCUGGCGUAAUGGCUGUAAGCGGCCCGUCUUGAAACACGGACC